AUCUUCGCAGCUCCCUCGUGUUAAUAGUGACAUUCAUGGCCGGAUGUCAUGGUUAGUGAAUC
rnacentral:ncRNA from 1 species